rnacentral:rRNA from 1 species
UGAGGAAUAUUCCACAAUGGGCGAAAGCCUGAUGGAGCAACGCCGCGUGCAGGAUGAAGGCCUUCGGGUCGUAAACUGCUUUUAUAAGUGAAGAAUAUGACGGUAACUUAUGAAUAAGCACCGGCUAACUACGUGCCAGCAGCCGCGGUCAUACGUAGGGUGCAAGCAUUAUCCGGAGUGACUGGGCGUAAAGAGUUGCGUAGGUGGUUUGUUAAGUGAAUAGUGAAAUCUGGGGGCUCAACCUCACAGACUAUUAUUCAAACUGGCAAACUCGAGAAUGGUAGAGGUAACUGGAAUUUCUUGUGUAGGAGUGAAAUCCGUAGAUAUAAGAAGGAACACCAAUGGCGUAGGCAGGUUACUGGACCAUUUCUGACACUGAGGCACGAAAGCGUGGGGAGCGAACC